GAGAUGGAGGCGGCGCUGCGCGGGAUCAGGGGGAAGCUGACGGAGCACCGGGAGAAGGUGGUCAGCGCGCUGCUGCUGGGCUCGUUCCUGGCGCUGGGGUGGCGGUCGGUGGAGCAGCAGCGCGAGAUCGAGGGCCUGGAGGCCGAGAAGAACUCCCUCCGCGCCGCCAACGCCUCCAUGUCCACCGCCAUGUGGGCCUGGAGGGAGGAGCUCUUCUCCCUCGCCGCCGCGCCCUCCUCCCCCAUCUCCGUCUCCCGCCUCCGCCACAUCUACGGCGAGGAGGAGGUCGCACCGCCCGCCGCGCCCAAGCAGCCAGUCACGGAGGAAACGACGAAGCUGCAGGCAUCAGUGUGCUUGUCUCGUGAUCUGAAAGAUCCGUUUGAAGCACACUCACGCACACUGACCGGGAAUGCAGCAUUUUUGUCAUUAUUGAGAGGGCAACUGAUAGCAACGUGCUUCCUGUCCUUGCAACAAUAGGACAAGAUUACGUUUGGAUAAUGGAUUAAUGGCCAAGCAACAAUCUUUUUUUAGUGAAGACUAGUAAUAUAGUGUGUAGUAGAAGUGCAGGCAGAUCGAACCAACUGUCUGCUCCAUCGUUCUUUGAAGGAGCAAGAAGAGGGCAUGGAGGGAGAGGAGGGGCGGAAGGGGCUCCCUUCCCUGCUGAAACCGCCAUCGCCGCCUGGAACUGAAGCUGGUUUUCUGCAGCAGGAACACAUCGCCUCUGAUAUUACCCAGCUUGUAGGAUGGACACCACUGAUAGAAGUAAAAAGAAUCGCCCAGAAGGAUGAUGGCAAUGCCCGGAUUGUUGGCAAGUUGGAGUGCUACCAACCUCUUUGCUCUGUCAAGGACCGCAGCGCUCUGAGAAUGGUUGAAGAUGCAGAGGAGAAAAGGCUUAUCUCACCUGGCGUCACGACCCUGGUCGAGCCAACUAGCGGCAAUAUGGGGAUAGGUCUGGCGUAUAUCGCUGUGCUCAGAGGUUACAGGUUCUUAGCCGUCAUGCCUGCUGAGUACUCACUUGACAAGCAGAUCUUGUUGCGAUAUCUGGGAGCAGAGGUGGUUUUAACUGAUCCUACACUCGGCUUUCAGGGACAACUUGAUAAAGUGGAACAGCUCAAGAAAGAAAUACCCAAUGUGCAUAUUCUUGAUCAGUUUGCAAAUGCAGCUAAUCCUGAAGCACACUUCACAUGGACUGGACCUGAGAUUUGGAAGGAUACGGCAGGCAAAGUAGACAUAUUUGUGGCUGGCACAGGCACUGGAGGUACUAUUUCUGGUGUUGGUAAAUAUUUGAAGAUGAAGAACCCAGCUGUGAAGGUCAUUUGUGUUGAGCCUGCUGAGAGUCCAGUUAUCUCAGGUGGCAAGCCUUCUCGGCAUAAAAUCCAGGGAGUUGGCCCAGGAUUUGUACCCAUGAACUUGGACACCUCACUCAUUGAUGAGAUCAUUACAGUAACUGCAGAAGAUGCAAUGGAGAAUGCAAGAAGGUUGGCAAGGGAAGAGGGCCUGCUAGCUGGCAUAUCAUCUGGAGCAAAUUUGGCAGCUUGCCUGAAGGUUUGAGCUAUUGCAAACUCCAAUUCUUCUGACUGGAACCUACUCCAUCACACUAAUUUUUCUAACUGGAUUCAACCUCCAUUUCUUUCUCAUCUUUGCUUACCUUCUCUUCGAAAAAAAAUUUAGGUGGCAUCAAGAGAAGAGAACAAAGGAAAGAUGAUUGUCACUGUGUUCCCAAGUGGUGGCGAAAGAUACAUGAACUCUGACCUCUUUGCAGCUGUAAGAGAGGAAUGCAUCGCCAUGACCUUCUGAUCUCGACACUUCUGGAGAUCUGGACUCGUGUUCUGCUCUGGCAUGGAAGCAUGUGUAGUCCAUUUGCAGGAAGCAAUUUAUAAAUGUUCUUGAUCAGAAACCUUUAUAGACUUUUGAGUUUGUUGUAGUUGGGCGUGCUUGUCUGCUUUCUAGUUUUCUAGAUUGACAUGGAACUUUCAGCAUAAAAAAUCAGCAAAACUAUUACAAGAAAUAGUAGAUUCACUUAAACAUAUUAAUUUCCCUCAAAUUCCAAAACUCAUUAACUUGCAUUACAAGAAAAACAGUUGAGCAGGACCAUCACAUUUCACCUUAGUUCGCUUCGAUUGGUUGAUUAACCCACUCUUCGCAGCUUCUUUCGAGAUCAUUCUCCUUGGUUGAUAUGUUGUUGUUGCUGUAUGAAUCAAACUAGAAAGAAUCCGAACCUCAACUUUUGCGACCAUGAUAUGAACUAUGAAUGUGUCAAAAAAAUUGAAAAUUGAAGCUUUUUUUUUAUCGUUUGCCCAUUUUCAACAAAGCUUUUGCUUAGCUUGGCUGCAGACUUCCGACAACCAAGUGCAGAAUUAUUGUGACUUGGACACCAGUGAACCCUAUCCAUUCGUACAGAAAAAAAAUACAUUCAUGGACCAGAGGGGGGGGGGGUGGCGGCUGCAAUUCAUAUCAUAUCUAAAGAUUGUAGGGUACAGUCGUUACUAUGUUGCUACUCCUCACCUGAGAAGCCAACAAGCAGUAGCGAAGAGCAGCAUCCAUGGAGAAAGAGGAGAUCGGGAGGAGGGGGAUUCCUUCUCUCCUGAAGCCAUCUUCUUCUUCUAGCGAUGGUGGUGCUGGGCGGGAGGAGCACAUUGCCUCUGAUAUCAUGCAGGAAUAUGUGGCCUGAUAAAAUAUGCUGCUCCCUUUUUAUAUGUGAUGUCUUCAGGUUGGCAAGACCAAUACUACAGCCGGUGUGCUUUGUUGAUGUAAUAUCCUACUCGGCAGUUCUACCCGAAGGAAACACUUCUCUACUGCUACAUCGUUCUCUCAACUGCCACACUCGGCUUCAAACAAGAACUACCGUAAAUAUUUCUCCUAUAGAGUCCUUAGCACAGAGAUUUAAAGCGCGCAUCCAGACCAGCAGAUUCAGGGAAAUUAAAGGAGAACUACUUUAUUAAACUAACAAGCUUACAUAUGGUUUUCUUUUUCGGAAAACCCCCAAACUACUUUAUUGGGUUUAGGUGCUCUCGCAGGGACUUUGCUCUUGGAGGCUCUGGCUUCUCCUAUCGAUGCCUUCGUCCUGUGAAGCAGGUCCUCCUUAUAUAGUGCUGCGAAGAGCGCUGAGGCCUUCGCUGCUUCUUAUGUUCUUUAUCAUUCUUACUGUACUGUGGCAUGGCGCAAACUUCAUCGGUAUGGAGGGAACUUUUCUGUUAA